rnacentral:tRNA from 1 species
CUGAGAAGAGUAAAGAAACACAGAGACUGCUAAUUAUCUGACAUGAGGUUAAAUUCC